rnacentral:rRNA from 1 species
UACAUGGGGUGCAAACGUUGCUCGGAAUCAUUGGGCGUAAAGCGCACGUAGGCGGUUGCUUAAGUCGGAUGUGAAAGCCCUCGGCUUAACCGAGGAAGUGCAUCCGAAACUGAGCAGCUAGAGUACGAAAGAGGGUCGCGGAAUUCCCGGUGUAGAGGUGAAAUUCGUAGAUAUCGGGAGGAACACCGGUGGCGAAGGCGGCGACCUGGGUCGAGACUGACGCUGAGGUGCGAAAGCCAGGGGAGCAAACGGG